rfam:Prunus persica cultivar Lovell chromosome G1, whole genome shotgun sequence.
UUGGGAGCUCACUGGCUUCGGAGUCAUGGGAAUUCCGAAGUUAAGCGAGUUUGGGCUAGAGCAAUCCCAGGAUGGGUGACCCACUAGGAAAUUGCUCGUAAGUUCCCAGA